UCUCAGUCGAGUCCCUGUCUGUGCCAAUCCUAAAUCCCUCGGGAGCAGCAUGCUGUGGAAACCUAUGGGGGCCACAGCUGUCCCUGGGAGUUUUCGGGUAACCCACAUUCAACAUGUUCAAGGAGGCAGCGUGAUCAGGAAAGAAAUAUAAAGGAAAUGACCAACACACCAACUUCGUCCUCCGUACAUAAGCUGUAUCCAGCUGCAUUAGAGGACUCCCCAACCACCCAAAGAUUUGGUUUGCAUGCGGUGUGAGCAUCCAGAUUAUACAGACUGCUCUCAGUGUGGUGAAGAGUAUUGGGUUCAGCAUCCUCACAGCAAAAGGGUGGGCCCACUUUACCUCACGCUGGAAGACUGGCAUCAGGUGCCAUGCUCAUCAUGGUGUUCUCAUAUCAGAAGAUGGGUACCUGGUGUGGGGCUUGGCUUGCUCUCGGGUCAGGAUCAGGUGUUGCUGUUCUGCACUGCAGUUGAUACGAGUAGUGGCUCCCUGAAAGGAUCAUCAACCCAUGGCCAUGUUAUAUGCAGGGAAAUCGUAUUCCCAAAGAGGCAAAAUGUGGAACUCCACAAGGAAAGGACGAAUCUAAUGACAGAAGAAUAUUUUGUGGUCGUAUUUUCUGUCAAGACAGAGAAAUCAAUGGAAACUGCAGACUGGCUGUAAAAUGCUCUGGAACAACUGUUACAAAGAACCAAGAGAUCAAGGGAAGAAAACUGAGGAUACCAUAUAUUGCAAACCUUUUUUUUUUAAAGAUACGGAUGAAAUCUUUUUCAAGGACUAGAAUAAACCUGUCCCCUUAACAGUCAAUUUAUUUUAAUUAGUCCUCAAAUGGUCUUUCCUUCCCUUUCUUUUUCAGCUAUUAGUAUUAAUACUAUUCAGAAUGAAAUAAAGGCCUUUA
rnacentral:lncRNA from 1 species